GUAGAGUAUUAUAGUNUAAAUAUAUUUUAUUUUAGCCUUAGAGAUGUUAAAACAUUUUAAAAUUUAGUAAAGGGGAUUAAAGAUUGUUUUAUUAUACCUAAGAAAAGUACUGUAAAGGAAUAUAAAGUAAAUUGAAUAAAAGAAAAAAUUGAAAUUUAUACCUUUCGCAUCAUGGUUUAACUAGAUAGUUGUUUAGUAUUUAAAUGUCUCGAAAUCUAAUGAGCUAUUUUUAUUCAAUAUAUUAGAAAAUAAGGAUUAAUUGUAGCAUAAAUUUUCUCAGAAAUAAAAAUAGAAAUGAAAUUUUAUCCGUAUUAGAUGAUAGCUAGUUCUUCUUAAAAGACAUAUAAGUGUUUUAAAUUAAUUCUAUUUUUAUAAUAAUAGCAUAAAAUAAGUUUUAAUUUAUUUAAAUUUUUGAGGAUAAGCUCGAAAAUUAUAAUUUAUAUUUGCAUGUCAUUUUAAUUAAAAUUUAGGCUUGAAAAUAGCCAUAAUUCUUGAUUUUGUACAAUUUCAUUAAUUAUAUUAAAAAAUAAUUAAUUUGCUUAUACAUAAAAGAAGUAAACUUAAAAACUAAAAUAAGUUGAAUAUAUGUUAAAAUGAGUAUUAAUUAAUUUAUAAGACUUUAAUAUUAUAUAAUUUAAAACUUACAUUUUUAUAAUAAUUUUAAAUCAUAGAAAGGAACUCGGCAAAUAUAUAUUCUGCCUGUUUAGCAAAAACAUGGCUCCUUGUGGAUAAAUGGAUAAGGAGUCGGACCUGCCCAGUGAAUUUUUCAACGGCCGCGGUACUCUGACCGUGCAAAGGUAGCAUAAUCAUUUGCCUUAUAAUUGAAGGCUAGUAUGAAUGGUUUGACAAGAAUAUAACUGUCUCUCUAUGAUUAAACAGAAUUUUAUUUAUAGGUGAAGAAGCCUGUAUUUAAUUAAAAGACAAGAAGACCCUAUCGAGCUUAAAAGAAAUUAUAGGGCUCAAAAAUUAAUAGAAAUUAGAAAGUUAACCAUAAAAAAUUUUAGUUGGGGUGACUAAGGAACAAGCAAAGCUUCCUUUUAUACUUAAAACCUUACGAGUAUUGAUCCAAAAUAUUUUGAUUAAAGAAAUUAGUUACCGUAGGGAUAACAGCAUUAUCUUUUUUAAGAGUCCCAAUCGAAAAAAAGGUUUGUGACCUCGAUGUUGGACCAGAAUUUCCUAAAGAUGCAGCAGUCUUUAAGGG
rnacentral:rRNA from 1 species